rnacentral:sRNA from 1 species
UCUCCGUUGGUGAACCAGCGGAGGGAUCAUUAUCGAGUUUAUCCAACUCCCAACCCUAUGUGAACCUACCUUUAUGUUGCUUCGGCGGUCUCGCGCCGGGCUGCUCCCUAGGGGGCUCCCGGGACCACGCGUCCGCCGGAGACCACAAACUCUUGAUUUUGCGAAAGCAGUAUUAUUCUGAGUGGCCGAAAGGCAAAAAACAAAUGAAUCAAAACUUUCAACAACGGAUCUCUUGGUUCUGGCAUCGAUGAAGAACGCAGCGAAAUGCGAUAAGUAAUGUGAAUUGCAGAAUUCAGUGAAUCAUCGAAUCUUUGAACGCACAUUGCGCCCGCCAGCAUUCUGGCGGGCAUGCCUGUUCGAGCGUCAUUUCAACCCUCGAGCUCGUCUUCAUUGACGAGAUCGGUGUUGGGACCCGGCGAGCGGGGACUCACGUCCCCUGCCGGCCCCGAAAUUCAGUGGCGGCCCGUUGCGGCGACCUCUGCGUAGUAACUUAACCUCGCACUGGGACAGCAGCGCGGCCACGCCGUAAAACCCCCGACUUUUUUAAGGUUGACCUCGAAUCAGGUAGGACUACCCGCUGAACUUAAGCAUAUCAAUAAGCGGAGGAAAAGAAACCAACAGGGAUUGCCCCAGUAACGGCGAGUGAAGCGGCAACAGCUCAAAUUUGAAAUCUGGCUCCUAGAGUCCGAGUUGUAAUUUGUAGAGGAUGCUUUUGAUGCGGUGCCUUCCGAGUUCCCUGGAACGGGACGCCAUAGAGGGUGAGAGCCCCGUCUGGUCGGAUGCCAAAUCUCUGUAAAGCUCCUUCGACGAGUCGAGUAGUUUGGGAAUGCUGCUCAAAAUGGGAGGUAUAUGUCUUCUAAAGCUAAAUAUUGGCCAGAGACCGAUAGCGCACAAGUAGAGUGAUCGAAAGAUGAAAAGCACUUUGAAAAGAGGGUUAAAUAGUACGUGAAAUUGUUGAAAGGGAAGCGCCUAUGACCAGACUUGGGCCCGGUGAAUCAUCCAGCGUUCUCGCUGGUGCACUUUGCCGGGCACAGGCCAGCAUCAGUUUGUCUUGGGGGAAAAAGGCUUUGGGAACGUGGCUCCCUCGGGAGUGUUAUAGACCAUUGCAUAAUACCCUGGGACGGACUGAGGUUCGCGCAUCUGCAAGGAUGCUG